rnacentral:rRNA from 1 species
AUUGAACGCUGGCGGCAGGCCUAACACAUGCAAGUCGAGCGGAUGAAGGGAGCUUGCUCCUGGAUUCAGCGGCGGACGGGUGAGUAAUGCCUAGGAAUCUGCCUGGUAGUGGGGGAUAACGUCCGGAAACGGGCGCUAAUACCGCAUACGUCCUGAGGGAGAAAGUGGGGGAUCUUUGGACCUCACGCUAUCAGAUGAGCCUAGGUCGGAUUAGCUAGUUGGCGGGGUAAAGGCCUACCAAGGCGACGAUCCGUAACUGGUCUGAGAGGAUGAUCAGUCACACUGGAACUGAGACACGGUCCAGACUCCUACGGGAGGCAGCAGUGGGGAAUAUUGGACAAUGGGCGAAAGCCUGAUCCAGCCAUGCCGCGUGUGUGAAGAAGGUCUUCGGAUUGUAAAGCACUUUAAGUUGGGAGGAAGGGCAGUAAGUUAAUACCUUGCUGUUUUGACGUUACCAACAGAAUAAGCACCGGCUAACUUCGUG